rnacentral:rRNA from 1 species
GACGAACGCUGGCGGCGUGCUUAACACAUGCAAGUCGAACGGAAAGGCCUCUUUCGGGGGGUACUCGAGUGGCGAACGGGUGAGUAACACGUGAGUAACCUGCCCUUGACUUUGGGAUAACUUCAGGAAACUGGGGCUAAUACCGGAUAGGAGCUCCUGCUGCAUGGUGGGGGUUGGAAAGUUUCGGCGGUUGGGGAUGGACUCGCGGCUUAUCAGCUUGUUGGUGGGGUAGUGGCUUACCAAGGCGUUGACGGGUAGCCGGCCUGGGAGGGUGAACGGCCAAAUUGGGAAUGAGAUACGGCCCAGACUCCUACGGGAGGCAGCCGUGGGGAAUAUUGCACAAUGGGUGGGAGCCUGAUGCAGCAACGCCGUGUGCGGGAUGACGGCCUUCGGGUUGUAAACCGCUUUCGCUCAUGACGAAGCUUUGUGUGACGGUAGUGGGUAAAGAAGCACCGGCUAACUACGUG